AUUGGCUGCAAUCUGCCGUCCCUGCAGGACUUGUUCGCUUCCAGGUCUCUGAAGUGAGCUAAAAAGAUUGUGGCCGACCCCUCCCACCCCGGACAAAAACUGUUUGUGCCCCUUCCAUCUGGCAGGAGGCUGAGGUCCAUCAGGACUAAGACCUCCCGCCACACGAACAGUUUCUUCCCGUCGGCAGUCGGGCUCAUCAACAGAGCCCGGUCCCCCACUGACUGACUAUAACAUUCCACCGGUCACUCCCCUUCAUACUGCACAUGUCACUUUAACUGUAAUUUAUCACUUUGUCGUCACUCGUCACUUUGUUACUUGUUCGCUAGUGCACUUUAUGCUUAAUCUUUUUUAAUAUUUUAAAUUUUUAACUAACUUUAUUCCCUUGUUUUAUACUAACCCAUAGCCUUAUUCUACUAACCCAUUGCAUUAGCAUUUCAUUUUACUUUUUUAUUUUCACACUGUCUACUGUCGCGCACCAACCGCCAAGACAAAUUCCUUGUAUGUUUGACAUAUUUUGGUAAUAAAUGUUUCCUGAUUCCUGAUUCCAGAUGUGACGGAUGUCAGACAGCUGCUAAUUUUCACAAGAACCGUUGAUGGCUUGGACAAACUAUCAGCUGUUGUUACAGAUGGCGCACCAGCGAUGCAGGGAAGACGCACCGGAUUCGCAGGGCUCCUUCAACAAAGUGGAGUGAACUGCCCUAUACUGCACUGUAUCAUACACCAGGAGGCCCUCUGUGCCAAGACACUGAACUAACCAUGUUAUGGACUAAAGUAACAAAUCUCAUCCGAGGAGGGAAGAGAUCCCUCAGUCACACGAGAUUUAUAGCCUUUUUGGAUGAAGUGGACGCCGCAUAUGGGGAUUUACAAAUGCACACCGAGGUCUGAUGAAUGAGUCGGGGGAAGUGUCUUGAGCGAUUUUUUUUGCGCUGUGCUCCGAAAUUCCAGUGUGUUUGGAAGACAGCGUUCGUGGUGAUAUGAGUGCUUACUGCAGGAAACUCAAAGACACAACGUUUCUGUGCAACAUGGCAUUCCUUACUGACAUUACCGUACACCUCAAUGACCUGAACACAAAGAUGCAUGGGAGACACCAAACUGUGUGUGACCUGUGUGCACACAUCAACGCAUUUCAGCGCAAAUUAGACCUGUUCAAAGAGGGAUUUUCAUCCCAUCUUCCGAAUUUGACACACUUUCCUGCUUAUGAGGAGAUGCGAAAAAGUGUCCCAGAGUGCGAAGGCUUACUUCACAAAUAUAAGACAGAUAUCGAGAAAAUGCAGGAGCAGUUCAAGCAUCGUUUCCAAGAUUUUCAUGCAAUCCAGCCACAGAUAGCGCUCUUAGUGGACCCCCUCUCCCGUGCUGUCAGCAAGCAACCUUCUGAAUAGCAGCUUGAACUUUGCGACCUGCAGUGUGAUCCAUUUUUUCAGGCGAGGCACAAUGAGAAGCGAAUUCCGUUUUGGAGUCUGCUGCCUGAAUGCCCGCUGCGAGAUUUUUCUCUCAAGGUCCUGUAUGUUUGGGAGCACAUUUGUGAGAACAGUUUUUUGACAAUGAAGCACAUCAAGUCAAAAGAGAGAAACAGGCCCACGAAUGACACUUUUUUUAUCUGAUGCGAAUUGGAUGCAAAAAGAUUGACAUUGACAUCCACUCUAUUGUGCGCCAACAGGCAAAGCCACAAGUUUAUCAUUAAAGGAGAACCAGGGGUGAGGUAGAGGAGGUGUGCAGGGAAAAUGUUAAAAUAUUUUUAAAAAAGAGUUGGAUUUUUAUGUAUGACAGCACUUUGCACCAAAAAAAAAAAUCACAUAUCUGGUUAUUUGUUUGCUUCAAAGCUUGUGUUGUUUAAGAAGAUCUGUUAUACAUGCAUUUGAGCAUGAAAUAUCUUAAGAUGCAGUGACUAUUGCCUGGGUUGUUUCGAACAGUGAGCUGAACACAGAACAAAGAGUUUUCAUAUUCAAUGUAUGGCGACAAGUCACCAUUUUGGGGUGUUUUGAGUGUUACGUCCCCCAGCUUGCAGUGUGUGUCUCCUGAUUACAGAUGAGCCACACCUGAGCGGAGCCUGUGUUUGCGCUACAGAGUUGCUACAAUACAGUCAGUCAGGCGCGCGCCCGCAAAGCAGACAGUCGCGCCGCCGUUUUCUUUUUUUGAAUAUUAAUUCUCACUUUCGAAUAGUUGUUAAACUAUUCGAAUAUAUAUUCCAAUAUAGAAUAUUUGUUCCAUAAACAAAACCACAUCUGUAAUAAUACACUAGCCACCACACGAAUAAUGACAACAUGCAAACAAUAAAAUGAAUAAAAAUGGAAGUAAAAGCAUUACUAUAUAAUUAAAACAAAGCGGUGUUAUUAUUAUAAAACAAAUGGUUGCAGGGCUAAACUUUGACCACUAAAAGGUAAUGCUCACAUUCUACUCCCUGUACAAGAUGGAGAGCAGAGUAGCAGACACUACUUUCUAUUCCUGCACUACAUUUAAGGUGACCAUGAUGAGAGAAGCAACUCGCUCACUCCCGUCCAGAUAAGGAGGAUGGCUGACCAGAGGACAGGCUGGAGACCUGUGGGCGUCAUAUAAUACCAUGUGUAGAUAAAGAUAAAAGCCUGUUAAUCUUUUCUAGAUUAUAAUAACAUGCGACUGAUUGAUAAUGUUAGAAUAUAGAACAUUGAGUCAUUGCUGUAUUUUCAGCAAUUUAAAAAAAGUUUUUAGCCUUUUCUGCCGAAAAUGCAUUUUCUAGUUGUAUGAAUCACUUCUGUCUUUUGAACCUAAUGUGUUGCAACUCUCUUAUGCAGUUGAUUCUGUAUGAUUGAAAUCUACUGAGUUCUGUUCAUCCUGCAAAAAGGGUUCCUUCCACCCAGGGCUUCUUUCUUCUUUCACAGAAUAUUUGAAUGGAGUUUUUCCUGUUCGAAUGUGAGGGUAUUGGGACAAUCAAUGUUGUGGCCUUUUAGGGCAAUUUAUUAUGUGAUUUAGGCAUUGAUGUGGCCUUAGCUUUGAUUGAUGAAUGAUGCAGCACUUGCUAGAAAUUCUAAAAUAACCUUGUGCUCUAAUCCACAGUCCGCGCACCCAAAACACAAACCAUGCUUUUGAGGAUAAAUAUA
ensembl:lncRNA